CCUACGGGGGGCUGCAGUGGGGAAUAUUGGACAAUGGGGGGAACCCUGAUCCAGCCAUGCCGCGUGUGUGAAGAAGGCCCUCGGGUUGUAAAGCACUUUCAGUGAGGAAGAACGCCUGGUGGUUAAUACCCAUCAGGAAAGACAUCACUCACAGAAGAAGCCCCGGCUAACUCCGUGCCAGCAGCCGCGGUAAUACGGAGGGUGCGAGCGUUAAUCGGAAUUACUGGGCGUAAAGCGCGCGUAGGUGGCUUGAUAAGCCGGUUGUGAAAGCCCCGGGCUCAACCUGGGAACGGCAUCCGGAACUGUCAAGCUAGAGUGCAGGAGAGGAAGGUAGAAUUCCCGGUGUAGCGGUGAAAUGCGUAGAGAUCGGGAGGAAUACCAGUGGCGAAGGCGGCCUUCUGGACUGACACUGACACUGAGGUGCGAAAGCGUGGGUAGCAAACAGGAUUAGAUACCCUAGUAGUC
rnacentral:rRNA from 1 species